rnacentral:tRNA from 1 species
GCCGGCGUAGCUCAGCAGGCAGAGCUCCUCACUUGUAAUGAGGUGGUCACCCGUUCGAUUCGGGUCGUCGGCU